rnacentral:tRNA from 1 species
GGUUGUGGCUCAGUGGUAGAGCACUUGCCUAGCAUGUGUGAGGCACCGGGUUCAAUUCUCAGCACCA